AUUAAAAAAAAGGGGUGAAAAGAACAAAGUUUUGUCCAUCUUUGUUCAUCAUAGCCUAAAGUUAGAGAAGAGAAAGGAGAGGAGAAAGCUCUUGAAUGUUCGGUCACUUGGGGAAAAAAAUUGAAGGUAAUCCCCAACCAUAGUGGGCUUAGAGCUGUGAGGGAAUUCGGAGUGGCCACCCGUUCUGAAAGUUUGGUUUUCUUCUAGUGAACUGGUUUGGGUUUUUAAAUGUAAUUAGGCCGCUUAAUUAUUUUUGAUGGUUUUUAAUAUGUAUUACUAAGAUAGGUAUUACUUA